rnacentral:rRNA from 1 species
UACGUAGGGUGCAAGCGUUGUCCGGAAUUACUGGGCGUAAAGGGUUCGUAGGUGGCCAACUCAGUCAGACGUGAAAUCCCUCAGCUUAACUGGGGAACUGCGUCUGAUACUGGAUGGCUCGAGUGCAGGAGAGGAACGCGGAAUUCCAGGUGUAGCGGUGAAAUGCGUAGAUAUCUGGAGGAACACCGGUGGCGAAGGCGGCGUUCUGGACUGUAACUGACACUGAGGAACGAAAGCCAGGGGAGCAAACGGG